rnacentral:rRNA from 1 species
UGGUGCAUGGUCAUUCUUAGUUGGUGGAGCAAUUUGCCUGGUUAAUUCCGUUAGAAUGAGACCUCAACAUCCCUUCACAACCAUCUUCAUAGAGGAACUAUGGCCUUUUAGGCAAUAACAUGUCUGUGAUGCC